rnacentral:tRNA from 2 species
GGACGGAUAAGUCAGCGGUAGAGUGUUUGAUUGCAGAUCGAACAGUCCCUGGUUCCCGGGUACGUCCU